rnacentral:rRNA from 1 species
CCGCUGAAUUUAAGCAUAUCAAUAAGCGGAGGAAAAGAAAGCAAAAGCGAUUCCUUGAGUAGGGGCGAGCGAAAAGGGAACAGCCCAGCGCACAAUCUCCCGGUCUACCAGGGCCCCGGCGAAAUUUUGCGUAUAAGGAAAGGUCGUUUACAGUCACGUGCACCCGUGUGAUGCGCCUAACCGUGAUCUGAAAUGUUCUCGCACGUUGGGUGCUUUACCKUUCGGGGUAAACGCUCAAUACACGGUUCCUUGGAGGGUGCGAGCCCCGUAUGGCCGCGUGAGGGUGCACUAAGGCUAGCCGUCUUUUCCUUGAGAGUCGCGUUGUUUGAACAUACAGC